AGAAUGACUUUCUUAGGCUAUGUGGUGGUAAUGGGCUUCCACACAAAAGUCAAACCUGACUAGGCUGAGAGAGCAUUUCAGACCAGCAAACCAGCUUAGGCUGUUUUAGGCAGUUUUUCUCAGCAGGGGUCUGCUGCUCAUACAGUGAUCAAAGAGUCAGGCGCGGGCUUUCACGUGCCCAAGGCUUCACAAUUCUGACCCUUCCUCCUUUCCUGGAUGUGUUCUCUGUCUGCUCUUCGUAGGACAGUUUAACGAACAUGUAACGGUUCGUGCGGCUCACGCAAAUCGAGAGGGCAGAGCUUAGCUGACUCAGUUACAUCUAUUUCUUCGUGUUUCCUCUCACGCUGGCGAGUGAAUACAGCGCGAGGCGAGGCGAGACGCAGAACAGCACAGAGCGCCAACAGGGAUGUAUACCAAACACAGACAGAAAAACGGACACAUUUCAUCGACACGAUAUGUGCUUGUAAUGCUAUGGGUUUUUCUCUUUAACGGUUUACUGGAAAUUGUAAGCGGAAAUCCUCGGGAGGAAGUGGAAGAUAGAGGACAGAGAGUAGCGGCACACUGGAUCUCUCACAGAACAGCAAAGCGAGAGGCUGAAACAGCAUUUAAGGACCAGUUCCCAGAGAGAGGGGAGAUUCUUGUCUCAGCCCAGGACUUGAAAUUGGUUCUACAAGUUGAACGAAAUCAGUAAGUAAUCUCUUUAAAUCACUUACUCAUACAUAUAAUUGAAGAAAAAUGUAUCUGAUUACAAGGUACUGACGUAGGGACAUUUGCAGAACACCCUCACACAAUCUUUGAAAUGACUCUUAUUUUGUUUGUUUCACACUUCUUACUGACUAACUGGAAGAUUUCAUAAUUCCCAUCUCAGUAGUUGUGAGUGGACUACUCAGUAAAUAAAAAGGAAGUGGAAUAAUGAAUUGAUCUUCUAAGAAAAGGGAACAAGUAUCCCCAUCACCUUCUGAUUGUUCUGCCAAAUGCUGAGAUGAACCAGUGCAAUGGAGUCACAGACUGAGUCUGACUGUACUGGAAGCCUUUUGGGGAUAGAUUGCCUUAUCCUUCUCAGAAAUUGCAAGACCACAUUAAUGUUACUUGGCAGAGUUAAUGUUUAUUUUAACCACAUAUGAACCUUGCAUUCCCUUGCAGUCUUGGCCAGUCUGGUUUUUCAAAUGUAGGUCAGAAGAAAGGACACAAGCGCUGACACACAUAAACAUCGAGCAGCCUGACUUCCUGAGUAUUGUCGAGGCUCGAAGGAACCCUCAAAGCAGUCUGGCAGUCUUUACAAGACAAAGUACUCUCCAAGCAGGUCGAAGUGAAGAAAAUGAGGAGAGUCAGGGCAUAGAGGACUGGCAUAGAAUCUAGAUCACAGCCGCAUUGUAAUGGCCCAGGAAAUGGAGGGUAGCUUGAAGACUUUUUAAUGAAUACACUCAAUCUAUAGACUAAGCUUUUCUUGAAAUAGAUAAAAGAAGGUGCAUUACUUGAGUGUAUAUGCCAUUUGUCUAAUUGCUUCUUUGCAUUGCAUCUCUUGCAGUGAAGUGCUUUCAACACACAACAGGAAGGAGAGCAUACAGAAACGGAAAUGUUAUUUUCAGAUGUUAGGGCAGAAGGUGUCUGGUUUGUGAAAAGGGACAUUUCAAAAGAAGAACACCUGUUUUUCUGCGCACCAUAGGGCAAUUUUUUUUUUAUAGAAUUUAUAUAUUAUAAAGCAGUGGUGGACAAAGUACACAGAUCAAGUACUUGAGUAAAAGUAGAGAUACCCUAAUAAAAUAUCACUCCAGUAAAGGUAUUUAAUACUCCUUUUCAAUUUUAAUCGAGUAAAAGUACAAAAGUAUUUGAUUUUUAAUGUACUUAAGUAUAACAAGUAAAAAGUACUGAUCGAUGAAUGUGCAUUUCUUUUGUAAUUUAAUAUACUUUUAUAUUUGAUAAUUUAUAUUGAUAAUAUAUAUUUCAUUUAAUUCUAUUGCUCAAAAUACCUGGGGGAGGGAGGCUUGGUGGGUUGUUGCUGGGUCUGACAUCAACAUGAAUAAUUAUGACAACGUUUUUAGGAAAUGUAAUGGAGUAAAAAGUCAAAUGUUAUGCUUUGGAAUGUAGUGAAAUAAAAGUUCCUCAAAAUAAAAAUACUCCGAUAAAGCACGGAUACUUGAAAAGUCUACUUAAGUACACUAAAGUUAAAAUAUUUCAAUUGCAUUGUCAAUUAUGUAGCAAUGUAGGAAGCAGAACUAGAAGUCACUUUUACACCAAGCAUAGUGUUAUGUUUAUUAUUAAUUCCAUAGCUAAUGGAAGCAUAAAAAAAUGCAUCUGUGGAUGAGACUAAUGAGAAACCUCGCUUCGGACCAGUUGUUGUUCCUAACAAGAGAUAGUACUCAACUCAAGUCAAGUCACAUUUAUAUGUAUAUCGCUUUAUACAAUAUAUAUUGUGUCAAAGCAGCUUUACAGUGUUAAACAGGGAUAUAGUGUGUCAAUAAUUCAAACAAAAUAAAAUUCUGCUGUAGAGCAGCUCUAAAAAGAGGAUAAUCGUAAAUUUUUUAAUUUAAGGGCAGUUCGUUGUUGAUUCAGUGAUGUCAUCAUCCAGCUCAGUUCAAUUUUCAUCCAACAGUGUCUAUGCAAUCAAGUCGACAAUAUAGCCAAAACAUUAUAAGUGUAGACUAAUUUAAAUGCACACAUUUAUGAACACAACAGGAAAAAAAGAAAAAGAAAAAAAGGCUACAAAAUUAUGAAAUUGAAGUAGAUUUAAAUGAAAUACUGUAAUACUUUUUCAUCAUAGAUGCAAUUAUGUAUUGUGCAGCUCUAAUACACUAUCCAUUUCAAUAAAAAGUUGAAUAAACAGAACCAAAGAAUUGGCAUAGGCAGUCUUGGUGGUUUAACCCUGAGCUCAUUUUGAAAUAUCAGUAAAGGUCAACUUUAGACUGCAAUUCUGACCUCGGUCAGCUGGGGUUAAAGGUCACCAGUCUUAUGGCUGUGUUGCAUUACGUGUGAUCCAUAAUGUGACUAUAAAAACCUCUAGAAAACCUUCAGGCAUAUUUUUCCCUUAUAUGGAAGUGCUUAGAAAUCGUUUUCUGGGUGAAUAUGUAGGCAUAUUUUAAAUGGCUCUUGAAUAGCUUCAUUGUGUAUUGCAUACAGCAAACUCCUCUAUUCCAUUUUUUGUCUCCAUGAGAAUUACAAAGUAAGAGCCUCUCAUUCUGCAAAUGACAAUAAGAAAUAGGUACAAUUUCGCAUUGUUUCCCCAUCACACAAUUUCGGACAAGCGCAAGGUUUUGGCAUUUUAUUCGUAGCCAAGCUAUUUGUGAUGUAAAUGAGCAUAUUUAUGUUUGUUUGCAUCUAAGCUGGUAUUUAACUGAAAGGAUGAGAGACCAGUUAAAGAGAGUGAAUGAGCAGAUACACGCGGAUGACAGGCGUGUUUUAGGCAGUGUUUAUAAGCUGGAGUAAUGUGUUUUAAUCUCUUCUGGGGAGGAUCUUACCACAUAUUUUAAUUAAAUUUUAAACUGUAUAAUGGAGAAAUAUGUCCUCUGAUAUUUGGUAUUUUAAGGUACUACACUGAUUAUUUUAGUUUACUCACAGUGGCAUUGUGAGGUGGUCUGUGGGUUUCUUUUGAGGUCAAGUGGUUUGUGAAAAAGGUUGCUUUUACAUCUAAAGAUCAUUUUAAAGAGAAACUGGAGGAGAUCAUGGUGUAUCAGAGGUGAAAGAGAUUAAUAGAGUUUAUAUUGCCUAAUAUGAGAGAGAGAAACUGGAAGGGAAGGAAUGAAAAGAAUGGAGGACGAGAGGGGUUUAGAGCAUGGAGAGUGGUGAUAAGGAGACAGAGGAUAGAGAGCUGAAAAGAACAUGAAAAGGGAGAUGAAGAGUCCAGACAGGUGGUUUGGUCCUGUGGUAGUUUAACUCCCAAGAGCCGAACCUCAUAUCCCAUCAAAGCUGAAGUGAUUGACCUACAUAUAUUUUAAUGUAUUUACCCCAUAGGAUAUGUUAUUUAAUAUAUAUAUAUAUUUAUUUAUUUAUUUAUUUAUUUAUUUAUUUAGGAAUUGCAGCACAUGUUCGGGAUUAAGCUAACAGUUGCCUGUAUAAUUCAACACAGUCACAACUCAUGAACUUUUAAAACCUUGGCAGAGGUGUCAUUGUAUCACUAAUAAUCAGGGUGGACAAUUAAAUGAAAUGUUUAAUCUGAAUGACCACAUGUAUGAUGUUACGGAGAGACUGAGAUGAGAAGCAUGCGGAUCCAUUUGCAAAGCUUUAUUCUUAAACAUGGUCAUAACAGGCAAGGAUCAGAAAAUGGCACACAGGUAUAUUGAGGGCAAGACAAGAGUAAUCCAAAGCGGACGUGGUCAAAUGGUGGCUAACAGCAUCCAGAGGGCUUGACAAGAGGGGUAAUCUGACAACAUGAGCAAUAGUCCAGGCAAGGUGCAAACACAGUCUGAACGACAAGACGAAAGGGAUAAUCCAAGACAGGCUAAUAAUUCUAGGGCAGGCAACUGACACACAGGAUGAGAUAAAUAGACUGGAAUUAAGACUAAUAUAACAAGACUAAACUAGAUUCAGAAAACUAGGACAGGAAUCUGGCUCCAUAAAGUUCUACCACUUAGAGAGCGAUAAACGCAAACAAUACUUGGCAGUGAAUGGUGGUGUGAGACUGAUUUAUAUACUGUGUGUUAUUGGUACACUGUAAAAAAAGAAAAGUUGACAUAACUUAAAAUUUCAAGGCAACUUGCUGCACAGCUUUUUUGAGUUUAGUCAACUUUUAAACAAAGUAGUUCACUUAACUCAAUUCACUGAGUAAGGUCACAU
rnacentral:lncRNA from 12 species